AUUGAACGCUGGCGGCAGGCCUAACACAUGCAAGUCGAACGGUAACAGGAAACAGCUUGCUGUUUCGCUGACGAGUGGCGGACGGGUGAGUAAUGUCUGGGAAACUGCCUGAUGGAGGGGGAUAACUACUGGAAACGGUAGCUAAUACCGCAUAACGUCGCAAGACCAAAGAGGGGGACCUUCGGGCCUCUUGCCAUCGGAUGUGCCCAGAUGGGAUUAGCUAGUAGGUGGGGUAACGGCUCACCUAGGCGACGAUCCCUAGCUGGUCUGAGAGGAUGACCAGCCACACUGGAACUGAGACACGGUCCAGACUCCUACGGGAGGCAGCAGUGGGGAAUAUUGCACAAUGGGCGCAAGCCUGAUGCAGCCAUGCCGCGUGUAUGAAGAAGGCCUUCGGGUUGUAAAGUACUUUCAGCGGGGAGGAAGGGAGUAAAGUUAAUACCUUUACUCAUUGACGUUACCCGCAGAAGAAGCACCAGCUAACUCCGUG
rnacentral:rRNA from 1 species